rnacentral:lncRNA from 1 species
UUACUCAUUUCGCUUUAAAAUAAACUAUUUGCAAUCUUGUAACUAGCAGUAGUAAUUUAAGAUAAUUGGCCAGUGAUGUAAUAGUGGCUUGAAAGAUAGUAUAUCAUUAGAAGUAUGAACAAAUUGACAAAAUUAUCUCAGUAAUUAAACACAAGAUCUUGUGGGUUUUACAUUCAUAUGUAUUGCUAUUCAGUUGACCAAAUCUUGGCUAAUAGAGCUUCAAGUUGAGAAAGGUCACAGAUGUUGGUAAACAUUCCAUUAAAGGGUUAACUGUCUAAAUUAGUCCACAAGUCAGUUGCUCCGCGUUCGCCAUGAAGCCGGAACUGCAGAUGUUCUUUCUUGUCACCUUGGUCUCAGUUGGUAUCUUCUCCAACUUGAGGACUUCCACAGCUCUCCCAGAGGCCCUGCCCAGCCCACCAACACAGGCUGCUCGGAAUAUCUCAGACUUAUGGACUCGUCUUCAGGCCGCCCGUACUAAUACCCACACUGCAGAACUCAUUCGUGUACCAAAAAGGUCUUGUAGACCUGGAGAGAGAUUUGCAUAUGGCAGAUGUCGCCGCCAGUGGUGAUGAUUACACACAAGAUUAUAAAUUUUGCACCGAUGACACUAGGUAGCAGUAGGUUACUUUAUUACUAUGAUAUGUAACUAAACAAUAUUUUAACUGUUUAUUGGAUUGUAAUCAAAGUAUAAUAUUUAACUAUGAUAUAUUGUACUAUUUGAACACAAAUAUGUAUUAAAAGUUUGUUAUUAUUA